UACGGAGGGUGCGAGCGUUGUCCGGAAUCAUUGGGCGUAAAGGGCGCGUAGGUGGCGGGACAAGCGUGCGGUGAAAGCUCGGGGCUCAACCCCGCGUCGGCCGUGCGAACUGUUUUGCUUGAGCACUGUAGAGGCAGGCGGAAUUCCGGGUGUAGCGGUGGAAUGCGUAGAGAUCCGGAAGAACACCGGUGGCGAAGGCGGCCUGCUGGGCAGUAGCUGACACUGAGACGCGACAGCGUGGGGAGCAAACAGG
rnacentral:rRNA from 1 species